GACGAACGCUGGCGGCGUGCCUAAUACAUGCAAGUCGAACGCUUCUUUCCUCCCGAGUCCUUUCACUCAAUUGGGAAGGGCAGUUGCGGACGGGUUAGUAACCCGUGGGUAACCUACCCAUCAGCGGGGGGUAACAGUUGGAAACAGGUGCUAAUACCGCAUACCAGUUUAUGCCGCAGUGCAAAAGAGUGAUAGGCUCAUUCAUGGAUCGAUGCUGGAUGGACCCGCGGUGCAUUAGCUAGUUGGUGAGGUAACGGCUUACCAAGGCCACGAUGCAUAGCCGACCUGAGAGGGUGAUCGGCCACACUGGAACUGAGACACGGCCCAGACUCCUACGGGAGGCAGCAGUAGGGAAUCUUCGGCAAUGGGCGAAAGUCUGACCGAGCAACGCCGCGUGAGUGAAGAAGGUUUUCGGAUCGUAAAACUCUGUUGUUAGGGAAGAACAAGGGCGUAAGUAACUGAACGCCCCCUGACGGUAUCUAACCAGAAAGCCACGGCUAACUACGUG
rnacentral:rRNA from 1 species